rnacentral:rRNA from 1 species
UUUUUAUAAAAUUCCUUCAAAUUGACUAUGCUGACUUGAGUCACGGAAUUGAACUAGAUUCAGCUUUCCAUGGUGAAAAGAUUCGUAAAUACCGGUCAUUA